rnacentral:rRNA from 1 species
UACCAGCCCUUCCGAGUGGUAGGGAUGAUUAUUGGGCUUAAAGCGUCCGUAGCCGGCUUAGCAAGUCUCCUAGUUAAACUCAGCGACCUAAUCGUUGAUCCGCGGGAGAUACUACUAGGCUAGGAGGCGGGAGAGGUCGACGGUACUUCCGGGGUAGGGGUGAAAUCCUAUAAUCCCGGGAGGACCACCAGUGGCGAAGGCUGUCGACUAGAACGCGCUCGACGGUGAGGGACGAAAGCUGGGGGAGCGAACCGGAUUAGAUACCCGGGUAGUCCCAGGCUGUAAACGAUGCGGGCUAGGUGUUGGGGUGGCUACGUGCCACUUCAGUGCCGCAGGGAAGCCAUUAAGCCCGCCGCCUGGGGAGUACGGCCGCAAGGCUGAAACUUAAAGGAAUUGGCGGGGGAGCACCACAAGGCGUGAAGCUUGCGGUUC